rnacentral:rRNA from 1 species
AUGGGAUCCUUGGGCCCUGCCGUGAGCGUGAGCAUGGCCAAGGCCAGCGGCGGCACGGCGGCCGUCGGCGGCCAGCAGCCGGAGCGCGGCACGUUCAGCUGCGGCUUCCGGAUGCCGCUGCACUACCCGCGGUACAGGAAGGCGGACUACGAGGCGAUGCCGGAGUGGCGCGUCGACUGCCUGCUCCGAGAGUACGGCCUCCCCGUCGCCGGCGACGUCGAGGACAAGAGGAGGUUCGCCAUGGGCGCCUUCCUCUGGCCCAGCCAGUAUUGA